UCUGGUAAUGAUAGCAUGAUGGACACACCUGUACCCAUUCCGAACACAGAAGUUAAGCAUCAUCGCGGCGAAGAUAGUACAUU
rnacentral:rRNA from 1 species